rnacentral:misc_RNA from 1 species
UGGCUCUCGCAUCGAUGAAGAACGCAGCGAAAUGCGAUAAGUAAUGUGAAUUGCAGAAUUCAGUGAAUCAUCGAAUCUUUGAACGCACCUUGCGCCUUUUGGUAUUCCGAAAGGCAUGCCUGUUUGAGUGUCAUGAAAUCUCAAUCGCAUCUGGUUUUUACGAUCAGUUGGGACUUGGACAUGGGCGUCUGCCGGUCACAGGGCUCGCCUCAAAUGACUUAGUGGGAUCGCUAGCAUCCGUGACAGACGUAAUAAGUUUCGCCUUGUCCCUUGCGUGCGUCAAGCCUGCUCAGAACACCGCUUGCCUCUGUGCAAUACGUUUUUGACUCUGACCUCAAAUCAGGUAGGACUACCCGCUGA